rnacentral:lncRNA from 1 species
CUAAAAUGCUGUUCCUGUUGUCAGCCUUGAAGAGGGUAUGCAGCCGGAGCAGAAGGGAGACCUGGCAUUCCUGAUAUCAUAAGGGGUAAAAAAAAAAAAAAAAAAAAAAUGGGAAGGGAGAAGCCCUCCUGUUUGAGGCACGUCCUAAGUGAUCUUGCUGAAUCGCAAGGCUGCAAAAACAAAUGUCCCCCAUAGGAGAGGCUCAUCUCCCCCUUGCAGGCAUGUCCCAUAGUGUGUGGACUGGUUCCCUGCCUGGAUUUGAAGCCCCCUGGGCUGCAUUUCUUCAUGGUGGCAUCAAAGGGACAUUGACUUGAGCCAGAUACAGGAGGAAGGGGGAAAUAUCGCCCCGUGGCUGUUGGCAUGAGGAGGAGCUGUACUACCUGGCCGGGAUUAGGAUUUCACAGGAGGGUGAAGUAGAUGACAGGCCUCUGUGGCCAGAAGUCCUUGCCGGAGCUGGAGUGGUGAUGCUACAGGUGCUGCACAGACCUUUCUUUCCCCCAUCGUGGACAGCAGGCACUUACUUUUGGGAAGGAAAUUCCAGCCAGAGCUCUCUGUCUCUGUGCCCGUCUCUCCAGGGUUUGCAGUACAGCAAAAGAGACUAACCCUGCCACAAGGGCAGACCUGAAGAACUGCAGGGAAUUGGAGCAACCUCUGCAGGAAGACAAGCAGCGACACCUGCGCUGUGACAGCAGAUGGAAAUCCCCCCAAAACAGGCCCGUAGAACAUUUCUGCAAGGAACUGAACGUGAUGCAUUUCUCUCCA